CUACAAGUCAUCAAGCUGACCCCCUCUCAUCCCUUGGCCUGAAGAAGAGGGUGUCUCAGGGCCCAGGGAUAAGCGGGAAUGGACCGGAGGGAGCCACAAGUCUGCACCCAGGCGGGGAGGAGGCGGGCAGGAGCGGCUCCGCAGGCGCAGGCGAGUGGGUGGGAAGGAGGGAGGGAGAGAGGGGAGAGGGAGGAAGGAGGUGAGGCCGGGAAGAUGCCUCUGCCGGGGGCGGGGCGGGGCCGGGGAUCCGGGAGAGGGACUGCAGCGGUGCUUGGUGGGGGCGGGGGCUGCAAUGUCACUCAUGUGGGAGUCAGGUGUGUAAGUCCCAGGCUCGGGCCGCCGCUUGCCUACAUCUUCCCGGUACUACCCAGGGCUCAGGGGUGGAGGCGGACGGCAGGGGACUGCAGAACCGUCCCCAGAGCGGGACGCGAACCGGCAGACUUGGAAGAAGAGCCUCCGCGUCCGGGAGCUGAGCAUGCUGCCCCCGCGUGCAGAGCCCGCGUGCACCCAGCCCGGAGAGGGGGCGACAGGGCGGAGGCGGUGGCCCCCGGAAGGUGUCUGGGACCGGACCGGCUGCACGUGAGCCCAGCGCAGGGUCAUGUGCACCGGCUCAGCCCGGUUCGGCGCCCGGACGUGCUGCGUAUCAACAAAAUAAACUCGGGGAGACAGGAGGGCAGAUAGCCCCGGGUCCUCCGAACCCACGUCCCCGGCCGCGCGACCUCCUCUCCGCACAGGUCUCCCGCCGCAGCCCCUCCGCCCUGCCAGAGCCCGCGGGGCAAGUUGCAGCCCCGGCGCGCCCCCGCCCGCCCGCGCCCCCUCCCCGGUCCGGGGGCGCUUUGCCGCAGUCAUUAAUAAAGAAGGUCGCCAAGCUCACCCUUCCAAAAGUUGUUGUUGCAUGCGCCCCUCUCAGCCUCCCCGCAAUGUACUCUUUAAAACACGACUGACCAACAUGCGCAAUCUCUCUCCCCUGUGCUGUGCAUCGGCACCCCCCCCCCCGCGCGCUGGCUUCCUAGAACAAGCAGCCAGCAGGAGAGAGAGGGAGCGAGCGAGCAAGAGAGAGAGAGAGAGAGAGAGCGCGAGGGAGCGAGGAGCGCUGGAGAUCUGUUGCAAAAACACAAAAUAACGCCGUGGAGAUGCGCAGGGCCAGUCGCCGGGGGCUGGAUCUUACCUUGCUCCGCGGUGCCCUUCCGAGGGCCGCUACCCCCGGCUACGCGCCGCGGCUGGGGCCGGCGUGGGAAGGAUGCUCCUGAAACCCGGAGCUCCUGGGGCCGGCGCGGGCGGGCGGGGGGCGCGCAUCCAUCCGGGGUCGUGGCGAGGGAGGCGGCCGGGCCCGUGGGGUCCCCGGCACCGCACCCGGCCGGGGACUGUCAGCCCGCCAGACCUAAGCCCUUGCCGCUAGGAGUGGGUGCAAAGUAACUCCAUGGACGCUUCUAACCCCCCCCCAAUAGCCUCCAACUGCGAUGGCCGCGGUCGGCACCAUUCACCAACCCCCCUGUGUAUGUUUCUGUUUCUUUUUAAACCAAGACUUCCUUGUGAUCUCUUUAGAAAAAAAAAAAAUGUGUUGGGGUGGGGGUGGGGUGGGGGCGGGCGGGAGGAGCGAGGGAGGGGGAGUAGCCACUUUUUUCUUAUUCACUCGGAUUUCCACUCCUGACACCCCCCGCCUCGCCCCUCCACCCCCCCGCCCAGUUGUUUGGCUUCAGCUGCGCGUUCAGGUAGCGUUGCAGGCCUCCGGGGGGAGGGUACCCUGCCGGACCGCCCUCUUGCCUGCACCUCGGGCCUGGACUCCCCACGGGCGCUGGGGCGCCCCCAGCCCGCCCUGUCCCCAGGGCCGGGCCCAAGCGGCGGCUGCGCCCGUGCAAGUCCCAUCAGGUCUGCUCACACUUCACACACUCACACACAUACCCCGCCCCUCCACUCUCUCACUCACACUUUCUGCUCACACCCCGCCCCCUUCGCGCCCCAGACCCGGGCGGCGCCCCCCGCAACCUUAAAAAAAAAAAAAAAAAGCAAGCUUAUACUUAAAAAAAUCUUUUGGCGCCAUAUUAAUGACGUACUUAAAAUUUGCCAUUUCUCCCUGCGUCAAAAAGACGUUUCUUUGCAAAUAACAGCCUGAAGGCGACACUCGCGGAGGGAACGAGGUUUGCACUGAGCACCCCGCCUCCCGGGGUUCCAGCGCUGGAAGACCCUCGCUCUAGGCCCUGAUCCUGAAUCGCUGGUUUUAAAAUGCGAAACGAAUAAAUCGCGUGGCGUUUCGCAGCGCCAGAAGUGAGCAGAAAGUGCUGGCAGGAGCGGAGGGGAGGGGCGCGCGCGAGUCUGGGGGAGGGGGCGCGGCUCUCCUCCCCCACCCACAGCAGAUGGAAACUAACAUGCCGGGCGGGGGAAACUUGAAAUUGUGGGCGACCUCAAGAAGGAGGGGCGGUCCGUAGAGAGGGUCCCUCUCGGGUUCGUCGCCCCCUCCCCCCGCCCGAGUGCCUCCUGGCGCCCAGCUCUGCCCCGCAUUUCCGGGGGGUAGGGAACGCAGUGAUGGGUGGGUGGGUGGCUGCACGUCCUGGGCCCGGUAGGAGUUUGCCCCGGGGUGGCCACCUCCCCCUUGCUCGUCCUUCCCAGUCCCCCUAAAGGGUUAAAAACCAAGGGGCAACUUCCAAGGAUUGGCACUUGGCGAGGAAGCGGGGCGCCCCUCUCCCCACCCUUCGCCUCCUCGCCCCUCCUCCUCCGGCUCCACUUCCCGACUUGACCUUGUGGUGCACAAACAGUGCGCUGGGAUCCUCGCAGUUUCUGGAAGAAGAGCUUGCGCUCGCCAGGCAGGCGGGCUGUCGGGCGGCUCUCGAGCGGUGGCGGGGCCUUGGGUCCGUUCCCGGAGCCGCGGGCCACACCCACCCAACCCGCUGCGCCCGCCGUGCUCACCUUCUCUCGAGGAAGGAGCAGGGCUGGCCUUCUGGAUGGGGAGAAGUGGGGGGCAAGCUGCAGCCUUCUCAGAUGCUCCCAGCUAGGGAGGGGGUGGUCUGGUCUCAGGCGGGGUGU
rnacentral:lncRNA from 1 species